rnacentral:rRNA from 1 species
GACGAACGCUGGCGGCGUGCUUAACACAUGCAAGUCGAACGAUGAAGAAAAGAAUCGAAGCUUCGGCAGAAAUUCAUUUCGGAUUAGUGGCAGACGGGUGAGUAACGCGUGAGCAACCUACCUCUUACAAAGGGAUAGCCUCGGGAAACCGGGAUUAAUACCAUAUAACAUUGCGACGAAGCAUUUCGAUGCAAUCAAAGCUACGGCGGUAAGAGAUGGGCUCGCGUCCCAUUAACCGGAUGGUGAGGUAACGGCUCACCAUAGUGACGAUGGGUAACCGGCCUGAGAGGGUGAACGGUCACACUGGAACUGAGACACGGUCCAGACUCCUACGGGAGGCAGCAGUAGGGAAUAUUGCACAAUGGAGGGAACUCUGAUGCAGCGACGCCGCGUGAGUGAUGAAGGAAUUCGUUUCGUAAAACUCUGUUCUAUGGGAAGAAAAGGACUGUACCAUAGGAGAAAGCUCCGGCUAAAUACGUG